rnacentral:rRNA from 1 species
CCUACGGGUGGCAGCAGUGAGGAAUAUUGGUCAAUGGGCGAGAGCCUGAACCAGCCAAGUCGCGUGAAGGAUGACGGCCCUACGGGUUGUAAACUUCUUUUGUCAAGGAACAAUUGAGUCCACGUGUGGUCUUAGCGAGAGUACCUGAAGAAAAAGCAUCGGCUAACUCCGUGCCAGCAGCCGCGGUAAUACGUAGGGUGCAAGCGUUAUCCGGAUUUACUGGGUGUAAAGGGAGCGUAGACGGCAGUGUAAGUCUGGAGUGAAAGGCGGGGGCUCAACCCCCGGACUGCUCUGGAAACUGGACGGCUGGAGUGCAGGAGAGGUAAGUGGAAUUCCUAGUGUAGCGGUGAAAUGCGUAGAUAGUAGGAGGAACACCAGUGGCGAAGGCGGCUUACUGGACUGUAACUGACGUUGAGGCUCGAAAGCGUGGGGAGCAAACAGGAUUAGAUACCCGUGUAGUC